GGGCGUGAAUAUUGCACAAUGGGCGCAAGCCUGAUGCAGCCAUGCCGCGUGUGUGAAGAAGGCCUUCGGGUUGUAAAGCACUUUCAGUCGUGAGGAAGGCGGGGACGUUAAUAGCGUAUUCAUUUGACGUUAGCGACAGAAGAAGCACCGGCUAACUCCGUGCCAGCAGCCGCGGUAAAUAAAAAAAAAA
rnacentral:rRNA from 1 species